CCUACGGGAGGCAGCAGUGAGGAAUAUUGGUCAAUGGACGAGAGUCUGAACCAGCCAAGCAGCGUGAAGGAAGACUGCUCUAUGGGUUGUAAACUUCUUUUAUAAGGGAAUAAAACGUGGCACGUGUGCCUUUAUGAGUGUACUUUAUGAACAAGGAUCGGCUAACUCCGUGCCAGCAGCCGCGGUAAUACGGAGGAUUCGAGCGUUAUACGGAUUUGUUGGGUUUAAAGGGAGCGUAGGGGGGUGGUUAAGUCAGAUGUGAAAACUUGCGGCUCAACCCAAAGACUGCAAUUGAUACGGGCAGUCUUGAGUUCAGGUGAGGUAGGCGGAAUUCGGGGUGUAGCGGUGAAAUGCUUAGAUAUCCCGAAGAACCCCGAUUGCGAAGGCAGCUUGCUGGACUGUGACUGACGCUGAGGCUCGAAAGUGUGGGUAUCAAACAGGAUUAGAUACCCGAGUAGUC
rnacentral:rRNA from 1 species